UGAAGGGAGUCUUAGUUUUGUAAAGGGAUCUACUCCAGGACUUUCUAUGUGGUAUCAUAAAUCAUUAGACACUGGCAGUAACAAGGCCCCUUUGACUGCAAGUCCUGCGACGGGCUAACCAAGGGUAGACAUGGGCAGUGGUGGCAGCCUGCUGGGACAGCAAUGGGACAGCUAACGUCAAGGUUGUUGCAGUUUCCCUACUAAUACUGGGCUGGAUUUGAGCUACCUGAGGUGGAGCUGCCCUGCAAGGAGGAAAGCCUGAGCAAAGCUGCAAAGUGGUGUUUACAAAAUGGUUGUCUGAGAAGUAUGAGAUGAAGAUCCUUCAUGCUCGGCGUGACCAGGGGAGACACUAUGCAGACUUAUAUGCCAAGAUAUAAAAGUGUGGUUUAAGAUGCCUACGAAAGCCUUUGCUGGAUGAACAGCUCUCAACCACCCCGAUCGAUUUGCUUGCGAAGCCAUUGAAAACAAAAGAGGCUGACGACAGGGGAAGCCCCAACUUCGACAAUAAAAAUAUGUCAGCAUGAAAAUGG